AGAGUUUGAUCCUGGCUCAGAAUGAACGUUGGCGGCGUGGAUUAGGCAUGCAAGUCGUGCGGAAAGGCUCCUUCGGGAGUACUCGAGCGGCGAAAGGGAGAGUAACGCGUGGAUAUCUACCCCCUGGCCUGGGAUAGCGGCGGGAAACUGCCGGUAAUACCAGAUAAUGUCUGCGGACCAAAGGUGUGAUUCCGCCGGGGGAUGAGUUCGCGUCCUAUUAGCUAGUUGGUAGGGUAACGGCCUACCAAGGCAAAGAUGGGUACCGGGUGUGAGAGCAUGGCCCGGCUCACUGGGACUGAGACACUGCCCAGACACCUACGGGUGGCUGCAGUCGAGAAUCUUCGGCAAUGGGCGCAAGCCUGACCGAGCGACGCCGCGUGCGGGAUGAAGGCCUUCGGGUUGUAAACCGCUGUCAGAGGGGAGGAAAUGCGUAGGAGUUCUCUCUUACGUUUGACCUAUCCUCAGAGGAAGUACGGGCUAAGUUCGUGCCAGCAGCCGCGGUAAUACGAACCGUACGAACGUUAUUCGGAUUCACUGGGCUUAAAGCGUGCGUAGGCGGCUGGGAAAGUUGGGUGUGAAAUCCCUCGGCUCAACCGAGGAAUUGCGCCCAAAACUACCUGGCUUGAGGAAGAUAGAGGUAAGCGGAACUAAUGGUGGAGCGGUGAAAUGCGUUGAUAUCAUUAGGAACACCUGUGGCGAAAGCAGCUUACUGGGUCUUAUCUGACGCUGAGGCACGAAAGCUAGGGGAGCGAACGGGAUUAGAUACCCUGGUAGUCC
rnacentral:rRNA from 1 species